rnacentral:rRNA from 1 species
UACAGAGGGUGCGAGCGUUGUCCGGAAUCACUGGGCGUAAAGGGCGCGUAGGUGGUGGCUUAAGCGUGCGGUGAAAGCUCGGGGCUCAACUCCGAGUCGGCCGUGCGAACUGGGCUCACUGGAGCAUAGUAGAGGCAGGUGGAAUUCCGGGUGUAGCGGUGGAAUGCGUAGAGAUCCGGAAGAACCCCGGUGGCGAAGGCGGCCUGCUGGGCUAUGGCUGACACUGAGGCGCGACAGCGUGGGGAGCAAACAGG